rnacentral:tRNA from 1 species
GGGAAUGGGGCGGAAUAGGGGUUGAAGCGGACUCUUAAUCCGUAGGUCGUAGGUUCGAAUCCUACAGGACCCA